UCAUUCGUUGACAAAUUUUUUACUAAAUCCCUCCAAUAUUUUUUUUAUAGAACAGAAUUUCAUAUUUAAAUAGUCGUUACAAAGUUUCGUUAAUAAACUUUUUGCUAUUUUAUUAAAAAUGUUAACCCUUUAAAAUUUGUAUAAAACUCGAGUCAAUCGAAACAAAUUGAUUGCUUUUAACAUUGACUGAGUGGAGUGGAUUGAAUUGGAUUUUUAUUUAAUAGAUUUUUUGGAACUGUAUUCAUUUCACUUUUCAUUAAAUAAUAAUUAACCAAAGCUACAUAUAUUAUAUUUUACGAACUCUUGAAAUGAAGGAUAUAGAAAUUUGGCAGCUUGGUAAAUAAAUAUUUGAAUGAAUGGAGUGGCUUAGUCCUGCAUUAAUAUUUCAAUAAAUUUUAUAAGCUAAAAAAUUCCAAGUUAUAGUAGAGCAAUUAAUGUGAAUUUCUUGCUUAUUCCAUGGGGCGACGCAAUGCGCAGUUCGCAGCGGCACAGUCAACGCCUUAACCUUGAAGCUGUCGUCGAGAUGUGGGGCUGGAGCAAUUGGCGGCGCUGGCCAUGCCCCAGUUGUGCGUGGCGCGUUUGGCAUGUUGCUGUUGCCAAAGGGGUUUGCGUUUAAUUAAAAAAAUAUAUAAAUGUGAGCUUGUGGCUGGCGUUGCCUGGCAUGCAAUAGAAA